rnacentral:rRNA from 1 species
GUAGGUGGCAAGCGUUGUCCGGAAUUAUUGGGCGUAAAGCGCGCGCAGGUGGUUCUUUAAGUCUGAUGUGAAAGCCCCCGGCCCAACCGGGGAGGGUCAUUGGAAACUGGGGAACUUGAGUGCAGGAGAGGAAAGUGGAAUUCCACGUGUAGCGGUGAAAUGCGUAGAUAUGUGGAGGAACACCAGUGGCGAAGGCGACUUUCUGGCCUGUAACUGACACUGAGGCGCGAAAGCGUGGGGAGCAAACAGGGAUUAGAUACCCUGGUAGUCCAUGCCGUAAACGAUGAGUGCUAAGUGUUGGGGGGGUUUCCGCCCCCUCAGUGCUGCAGCUAACGCAUUAAGCACUCCGCCUGGGAGUACGGUCGCAAGACUG